AUUGAACGCUGGCGGCGUGCCUAACACAUGCAAGUCGAGCGGCAGCGCGGGAGCAAUCCUGGCGGCGAGCGGCGGACGGGUGAGUAACGCUUGGGAAUCUGCCUGUUAGUGGGGGACAGCCCGGGGAAACUCGGGCUAAUACCGCAUACGCACUACGGUGGAAAGCCGGGGACCGCAAGGCCUGGCGCUAACAGAUGAGCCCAAGUCGGAUUAGCUAGUUGGUAGGGUAACGGCCUACCAAGGCGACGAUCCGUAACUGGUCUGAGAGGACGACCAGUCACACCGGAACUGAGACACGGUCCGGACUCCUACGGGAGGCAGCAGUGGGGAAUAUUGGACAAUGGGGGAAACCCUGAUCCAGCGACGCCGCGUGGGUGAAGAAGGCCUGCGGGUUGUAAAG
rnacentral:rRNA from 1 species